CCUACGGGUGGCAGCAGUGAGGAAUAUUGGUCAAUGGACGCAAGUCUGAACCAGCCAUGCCGCGUGCAGGAAGACGGCUCUAUGAGUUGUAAACUGCUUUUGUACGAGGGUAAACGCAGAUACGCGUAUCUGUCUGCAAGUAUCGUACGAAUAAGGAUCGGCUAACUCCGUGCCAGCAGCCGCGGUAAUACGGAGGAUUCAAGCGUUAUCCGGAUUUAUUGGGUUUAAAGGGUGCGUAGGCGGUCGGAUAAGUUAGAGGUGAAAUCCCGAGGCUCAACUUCGGAAUUGCCUCUGAUACUGUUCGGCUAGAGAGUAGGUGCGGUAGGCGGAAUGUAUGGUGUAGCGGUGAAAUGCUUAGAGAUCAUACAGAACACAGAUUGCGAAGGCAGCUUACCAAGCUACGUCUGACGUUGAGGCACGAAAGCGUGGGGAGCAAACAGGAUUAGAUACCCGAGUAGUC
rnacentral:rRNA from 1 species